GGUUUAUGAGGAGUCGGAUUGUCUCAAUUCGAGCUACUCACUACAAGGGAAGUCGGUAAAGAUAGUAUAAUAAGAUAGCGUUUUGCAUGUGAAUGCUAUAAUUGAUACAAAAUUCAGUUUAAUAUAGUGUUUCAAAAUACCCAUGCUAUCUUUGUAUUUUCGGAUUCUAAAAACUUGGGUUUGGAUAGCAUAAGUAUCACCGAACGCUGUAUUUAAUUUAAGCGGAAUUGUUUUUUCAUUUCUCGGUUAAGACUUACCAAAAAAAAAUUUGGUCUCCCUCCCAAACUUUUCAGAUUCACUCUCAAAUUUUUAUCUCUUGUUUCAGAUCUUUUCUCUCUACAUCAUAUCAUCUUUCAGAGUUCCACGCGGCUAAGAUUAAACUCUUCAUCGUUCUAUUUCUCCUUCUCUCAAUACAAAACCCUAAUCUCAAUCUCACCCUCUCUCCUUCUCCGCGUC
rnacentral:lncRNA from 1 species